AUAAGAAAAGAUAAAAAAUAUAAUAAAUAAAAGAAUACUAUGUCUUGGUUUUUGUAAUCAUGUUAAGCAGAGUACGUACAGGAAGAAAAGUACUGUGCUGAAAUAAAGACUGGGGUGGACCUCUUUCUUAAUACCCAGUGUUCUUUGUCUUAAGAUUUGGUGCAAUACAU
rnacentral:snoRNA from 1 species